rnacentral:lncRNA from 1 species
GAGUCUAGGAGGAGCCACAGUAGGUGGUCCAACGUUCGGAAUGGGUAAGACUUCUGUAGCGGAAGGUGAUGGAGGAGAUAUAGACUCCCUAAAGGCCGGUAUAGGUAAAACUUCAGAUAUAGCCAGAUGGUCAGAAUGGUCAGAAGAGGUAAAGAAAGGCUUAGACUUAAAAAAUGUGACAUCGGCUGACAUAAGGUACCUACGAAUAUCAGGUGAAUAUCAACGAUAGCCCUUCUGAACACGAGAAUAACCAAGGAAGACACACUUGAGAGCACGAGGAGCUNNNN